rnacentral:SRP_RNA from 1 species
UUCAGGUCCCCCCGCAACGAUUACCCGUCAACCUGGUCAGGUCCGGAAGGAAGCAGCCACAGCGGGAACAUUGUGUGCCGG